UUUCAUAAUCCAAAAAGCUUAAAGAAGUUAUAACAGAAAAGCUACAAUUUAAAAUAACAACUCCAGGGGCCAGCCCGGUGGCGCAGUGGCAGACUAAGCGCUGUGGUGUUUUUCCUUGCAAACUGACCAAAAGAAGCUUCCAGAAGAAACCAUCUACUACAAGGGGAGGGAAGGUGAGGCAACGAGGAGAGGAGGUAGCUUCAGAGACCUGGAUCUAUGAAGACCUCCCAUCCUGCCUGCCAUCUCGCUCCUAACACCUGACUUGGUUUACCUAACGGGUGGUCAGGUCUCCAUUUGCUGUCGGCUCCUCCAGUUUUCCCAUGAUUCCAUUCUCGCUCAGUUUUGAUCUCCUCUCUGUGGUUUCCUCACUCCAGGGGCUGUGGAUGCUUCAGCUCCACUGUGCUUAGGAGAGGAGGCUCUGAAGCCAGAUGGCCUGAAUUCCAGCCCAGCUCCACAGCUUAUACACAGAGCGACCCUGAGAUGGGCUCUGGUGGCCUCACUCUCCUCAUCUCUAAAGAGAGAGCAAUAGAAGUUCAAGCCUCAUUGAGCUGUCCUAUGAGUUAAGGCCAACUUCUCUUGUAAAGUUGUUUAGAGCAGUACUUGAAAGACUAAGUGGUCAGUGUGUUGGCUAUUAUUACGAUUAUUUCCAAAUGGCUUGGAGAGUCACAGGGUGGUAAAGCCCUGAGAAGCUUUUAUUUCCUAGGAAAAGGCUGGAGGUAAGUGGCUUGCCAAAUAUGGUCAUUAAGAUAUUCACUUUCUAUGCUAGGGAACUCCUAAAGCACAGGAGGCAUGCACAACACACACACAAAAGCCCUAGCACACACAGAUAUACACAAUGUGCACACAUGGAUUCAUCCAUGCUGCCAUAUUCAUACACAGGUACACGUGUGCAUAACUCUAGGAAUAGCCUGGGGCAGAAUCUCCAAUCAAGUUCCACGGAGGGUGGCAGGCUUCACUUGGCUUCGCU
rnacentral:lncRNA from 1 species